rnacentral:rRNA from 1 species
UACGAAGGGUGCAAGCGUUACUCGGAAUCACUGGGCGUAAAGCGCACGUAGGCGGCUUUCUAAGUCAGGGGUGAAAUCCUGGAGCUCAACUCCAGAACUGCCUUUGAUACUGGAGAGCUAGAGUCCGGAAGAGGUGAGUGGAACUGCGAGUGUAGAGGUGAAAUUCGUAGAUAUUCGCAAGAACACCAGUGGCGAAGGCGGCUCACUGGCCCGAUACUGACGCUGAGGUGCGAAAGCGUGGGGAGCAAACAGG